GGCCCUGUAGCUCAGUCGGUAAGAGCAUCCGUCUUAUAAGCGGGAGGUCACAGGUUCAAGUCCUGUUAGGGCUACCA
rnacentral:tRNA from 1 species